rnacentral:rRNA from 1 species
AGCAGCCGCGGUAAUUCCAGCUCCAAUAGCGUAUAUUAAAGUUGUUGCAGUUAAAAAGCUCGUAGUUGAAUUUCGGGAUUAGUACGUUGGUCGUGCCUUCGGUACGUACUGGUGUUACUGAUUCCUACCUUCUGACGAACCAUCAUGUCAUUAAUUUGGUGUGGCGGGGAAUCAGGACUGUUACUUUGAAAAAUUAGAGUGUUUAAAGCAGGCUCGCGCUUGAAUACAUUAGCAUGGAAUAAUGAAAUAGGACGUUGACCCUAUUUUGUUGGUUUCUAGGAUUGACGUAAUGAUUAAUAGGGGUAGUUGGGGGCAUUAGUAUUCAAUUGUCAGAGGUGAAAUUCUUGGAUUUAUUGAAGACUAACUACUGCGAAAGCAUUUGCCAAGGAUGUUUUCAUUAAUCAAGAACGAAAGUUAGGGGAUCGAAGACGAUCAGAUACCGUCGUAGUCUUAACCAUAAACUAUGCCGACUAGGGAUCGGAUGAUGUUAUUUUUAAUGACUCACUCGGCGCCUUACGGG